ACACGCAUGACACACUGCAUAUCAAUAAGCGGAGGAAAAGAAACUAACAAGGAUUCCCUUAGUAACGGCGAGUGAAGCGGGAAGAGCUCAAAUUUGAAAUCUUCAAGGUUCUACCUUGACGAAUUGUAGUUUAUAGAAGUGUUUUCUGUUAGUAGAGUGGCAAAAGUUCUUUGGAAUAGGACAUCAUAGAGGGUGAGAAUCCCGUAUUUGGUCAUUCCUCCUAGCGUUGUGAUACACUUUCAACGAGUCGGAUUGUUUGGGAAUGCAGUCCAAAAUGGGUGGUAAAUUUCAUCUAAAGCUAAAUAUUGGCGAGAGACCGAUAGCGAACAAGUACCGUGAGGGAAAGAUGAAAAGAACUUUGAAAAGAGAGUUAAACAGUACGUGAAAUUGUCAAAAGGGAAGCGUUUGACACCAGUGUUGUUUUUCCGAAAAUCAAUUACGAAUGUUUUAGUUUUUGAGGAGUUAUGACUUCAUCGGCUUGCUCCUUUCUUUAUGAAACUUUCUUAAUGCACUUUUCGGUUAACAAGUCAACAUCAAUUUCUUUUGUUGUAAAAGGGUAAGAGGAAGGUGGCUUUCUUUUCGGAGAAAGUGUUUAUAGCCUUGUGCCUCUGCAAUCGGAGAGAUUGAGGUCUGCAGCGUAGAUCCUUCGGGGUUAGAUACGUUUGUGCUAAGUUAUAGCUUUUCAUAGACAACUUGUUGACUAUGUUUAGUCUUGUAGCUUACUCGCUGACGCUAUUUUACCUACGCUUAGGAUGUUGACUGAUAUGUAGUCGUA
rnacentral:rRNA from 1 species